CCUACGGGUGGCAGCAGUGGGGGAUAUUGCACAAUGGGGGGAACCCUGAUGCAGCGACGCCGCGUGAGCGAAGAAGUACCUCGGUAUGUAAAGCUCUAUCAGCAGGGAAGAAAAUGACGGUACCUGACUAAGAAGCCCCGGCUAAAUACGUGCCAGCAGCCGCGGUAUUCCGUAUGGGGCAAGCGUUAUCCGGAUGUACUGGGUGUAAAGGGAGCGCGAGCGGCCUGCCAAGUCUGGUGUGAAAACCCGGGGGCCAACCCCUGGCCUGCAUUUGAAACUGGCGGGCUGGAGUGUCGGAGGGGCAGGCGGAAUUCCUAGUGUAGCGGUGAAAUGCGUAGAUAUUAGGAGGAACACCGGUGGCGAAGGCGGCUUACUGGACCGUAACUGACGUUGAGGCUCGAAAGCGUGGGGAGCAAACAGGAUUAGAUACCCGAGUAGUC
rnacentral:rRNA from 1 species